AUGCCUCUGUGCUGUGUUCGCUCACACAGAUCUGGUGGAUCACUCUCUGGGAACACACUGCUUCCAGCUGGCCAAGAAAACGGUGGACAAAGUCAUCUCUGUCAGGGAGGCGGAUGCUCUGGUGGCCAUGCUGCGCUUUCAGGAGUACGAGCGCUCGACCGUGGACACAGAAGGAGCCGUGGGCUUGGCUGCAAUCUUAGCUGGUCACCUGCCAGAGCUUAAAGGGAAAAGGGUGGCAGUGGUGGUGAGCAGUGCAAACAUGGAGCUGGACCUGGUUCUGCAGUGUGUGGAGCGAGCUCUGGUUCUGGACGACAGAGUCAGUCGCUUCACGGUGCAGCUGGCCGACUGGCCCGGAGACAUGGCCAAACUCCUGGAUCUGCUGGCCAGAGAGGACGUCAGGUGAGCUUUCGUGCAUCGUGCAGACGCUUCUAUCCAAAUGACUCGCAUUGCAUUCGAGCUGUGCAUGUUAUCAGUAAAUGCAUUCUCUGGGAAUCGAAGCCAUGACUUCUACGGCUUGAGCUCCUGCAUGUAAACCUUGAAUGCAGUGCAAGUGGCUUUGAAUAAAAGCAUCUGCUCGAUGCA
rnacentral:lncRNA from 1 species